AUACUUACCUGGCAGGGGAGAUACCACCAUCACCAAGGCGGUUUUCCCAGGGCGAGGCUCACUCAUUGCACUUGGAGUGUGCUGACGCCAACGAUUUCUCCAUAUGCAGGAAACUCAACUGCAUAUUUGUGGUAGUGGGGGACUGCGUUCAUGCUCUCUCCUA